CUCUGAUCUUUCUCCUUAUCAUGACGAAGAAGCAAGUCUUGAAGACAAGCCUUUUCUCCAACCCGGAGGGAAUGACACUGAACUUUGAACCAAUGCUGUGAAGCCUUUAGAAAGAAUCUGACACGACCCGUCCCGACUCAACCUAAUUGACUCGACACGUGUCGUGCGCCGGUAGUAGAUGCCAGUUAAAUGCCGGACCCACCACCAAGGCAACUUUGACUUGCUUCACUGAAAAAUAUUUUUAACAGAAUUUUGAUAGAAUUUCCUCUAAAAUACGAACUAAAACCACCUGAACAAUAACCAAUUUUCCUCAAAUCAAUACCUAUAAUAUAAAUCAGGGUAUGCCAAUCCCUCAAAAAUACAAACUAUUCAAAUAAAAUGCUAGGAAAUCAAUAAUUACUUGCUUUACAACCAAUAAUCUUCAAAAGUACUAAAGAUACCAAAUAUCUAAUGAGCCCAUAAUGAACUUUUCGGAUUUAACCUAUGUGUAUCCCAAAAGAACACAAUAUAUAAUCUGAUAAAAGAUGUCAUACAACCUAGGACGUGUGGCUCAAUUCGGUGGUUCGACAUGCUCCAAAGCUGCUCAAUUUGUCUGUUUUCUGUCUGAUAAAGAAAAAGGUGAAAAAAUAUAUGAGCUUAAAGCUCAGUGAGUGGAUAAUUUACAAAUAAACAUAUUUUUCUUUUAUGCAUAUAUUCUAAAAAUUCUUGCUCUAUCAAAACUUUGAGAAAUUCUGAAAUCUGGUAACACUUUUAAAACUAAACAUAAUUUCAUCAUAAAAUUCUUUGUUCUAAAUUCUAGAUAAGUAUCUGUAAGGUAUAACAAUUAUAAAGAAUCUGAUAUUCAUGAAAAUCUAUGAAAUAUUACUGCUGCUCAAUAGUAUAAGCUGAAAGCUUUAUUCUGAAAACUGAAUUAACUGACUUCCAUAAUCUGAAAUCUGAGAACUGAAUAAAUACUGAAAAAUCACACCAUAAAGAGUACCCAAUGAAUAGCCUUACUCAUGUACAGAGUAAUCUCGAUGUACAAGGCAAAGCCAUUCAAAUCUGAUAAUCUGAUAGCUGAUAAUCUGAUAAUCUGAUCAUACGUACGCAGAGCUGCCCUAAAGGCUAAUCACCCUAGUACACGGCCCAAAGCCUAUGUGUGUACGAGAGUGGGUCCCAAAAACCUCUGAUAAUCUGGUCAUACACUAUGGAAACACAUUCACAAUAGUGCAGAGCGGGUAAAAUCACUAUAACUAGUCAUACACUGUGGAAACACAUUCACAUCAGUGCAAACUGGGGUAAAAUCACCUGGGUACUUUCUGGUGAUUUUUAUAAAUAACUUUAACUAUACUGAAACAUGUAAUAAGAAUAUAACAUGCUACUAAAAUAAUUUAACUGAACUGAAUUUAACUUUAAAAAAAAUUGAUAAUAAAAUCCAUUUUACUCUGAAAAUCAUGCUAUGAAGUCAACUUUAUAAAAUAAAUAACUUUAAAAUUUAAAGAAGACUUAUUUCUGAAAAAUAAGUUUUAUCCACUCACAAAUCUAUGAAUAGCAAUUUGGUUCAAUUUUACCAGCCUUGCCUAACUUUCACGUUACCACCUGAAAUACGAUAUAAAAUAACUAAUUUAACAACUUCCAUACUAAGUAUUUCUUAAUACUAAUAAUCGAAUACUAAAACUUGACUUCUCGAUACUUAAAUAAUAUUUUCCCCAAUUUCCUGUAAUCACUUCAAACUAAUUCCACUUUCUAGUCCAUUUCUUAAUAGCUAAUUCAUUACAAUAAUCUUCACUCCAAACAUCAAAAUAAUUCCUUCUUCCAAACUAGUGAAAUUAAUAAUCAUAAUUUAACCAAUUUAAUUUCCCAUCUUGAUCCAUAAAUUCAUGCCUUCAAAUGAGUAUUUCAUCCUUACAAAUUUUCCCGUUAACUAAACUCAUUCAAAAACCCAAAUGAAAAUUCUAGGGUUUUACCCAAAAUUGGUAUUUCUUACCUUAGUGUAAAUAACAUCUCCAAUUCAAAAAUAUUGACUUGAAAACAUAUAUAUUCCUUCCUUAAAAUCUGAAAAUUAAACAAAUAAAAUCAAAACUCUAAAAAUUUAAGCAUAAAACAUACCAUAUCUUUUAAAGAAAUUAGACAAAUUGAAAAUGAAAUUGGAAUAGCCACUACCUCUUUUCCUUCCUUUUCUUCUUCUUUUUCUUCCCUCUUUUCUUUCCCUUUUUCUUCUUCUCUGCCGGUCCUUUCUUUCUUCUAGUGUGUGUGUGUGUGAUUUAUGAGAGAAAAAGUGAUGGUCAAAGGCAUUAAAAACCCACUAACUCCAAAUUGCAAGAAAAGUCCCUCUUCUCUAAUAUGAG
rnacentral:lncRNA from 1 species